GGCGCUGUCUACACAUGCUUCCCAUCAUGCAUAGAUGGGCGGGCACGCGGUAGGCCUGCGCACAAAAGGCCUACACACGGUAGGCUAGUAUGCAGUAAGCUUGUGCACGGUAGGCUUACAUGUGCAACAGGCUAAGCCUGCGAUGCAUAGCAGGUUGGGGUAGCGAGUGCUCCCUCGGGCAACACGCCCUGCCCCUUUAGUCACCGUGCACCAUCUUCGAGCAGUGUGUUGCCGUCCUUGGGUGUCGUACCACUGUCAUUUGGGUGGCGUGCCUCUAAUUUUUACACUGUCAUCAUGUCACAUUGUUUAUUCGUCGGUCAUCACAUCUCAUCGUUUAUCUGAGGAGUUUCUAUUUUUCUCCUACCUGGUCUGAAAA
rnacentral:lncRNA from 1 species